GGUGGGGUUCCCGAGUGGCUAAAGGGAUCAGACUGUAAAUCUGACGCGCAAGCUUCGGUGGUUCGAAUCCACCCCCCACCACCA
rnacentral:tRNA from 2 species